UCCUGAGUACGGCGGAACACGAGAAAUUCCGUCGGAAUCUAGGAGGACCAUCUCCUAAGGCUAAAUACUCCCUAGUGACCGAUAGCGAACCAGUACCGUGAGGGAAAGGUGAAAAGCACCCCGGGAGGGGAGUGAAAUAGAACCUGAAACCGUGUGCCUACAACAAGUUAGAGCCCGUUAAUGGGUGAUAGCGUGCCUUUUGUAGAAUGAACCGGCGAGUUACGAUUGCAUGCGAGGUUAAGUUGAAGAGACGGAGCCGUAGCGAAAGCGAGUCUGAAUAGGGCGAUAGAGUAUGUAGUCGUAGACCCGAAACCAUGUGAUCUACCCAUGUCCAGGUUGAAGGUGCGGUAAAACGCACUGGAGGACCGAACCAGGACACGUUGAAAAGUGUUUGGAUGAGGUGUGGGUAGCGGAGAAAUUCCAAACGAACUUGGAGAUAGCUGGUUCUCUCCGAAAUAGCUUUAGGGCUAGCCUCGGAAGUAAGAAUGAUGGAGGUAGAGCACUGUUUGGACUAGGGGCCCAUCUCGGGUUACCGAAUUCAGAUAAACUCCGAAUGCCAUUCAUUUAUAUCCGGGAGUCAGACUGCGAGUGAUAAGAUCCGUAGUCGAAAGGGAAACAGCCCAGACCACCAGCUAAGGUCCCCAAAUGUAUGUUAAGUGGAAAAGGAUGUGGGGUUGCACAGACAACUAGGAUGUUGGCUUAGAAGCAGCCACCAUUUAAAGAGUGCGUAAUAGCUCACUAGUCGAGUGACCCUGCGCCGAAAAUGUACCGGGGCUAAACAUACUACCGAAGCUGUGGAUUGUACUUACGUACAAUGGUAGGAGAGCGUUCUAAGGGCGUUGAAGGUAGAUCGUGAGGACUGCUGGAGCGCUUAGAAGUGAGAAUGCCGGUAUGAGUAGCGAAAGACAGGUGAGAAUCCUGUCCACCGAAUAACUAAGGUUUCCUGGGGAAGGCUCGUCCGCCCAGGGUUAGUCGGGACCUAAGCCGAGGCCGACAGGCGUAGGCGAUGGACAACAGGUUGAUAUUCCUGUACUCGUUGUUUUCGUUUGAGCAAUGGAGGGACGCAGGAGGCUAGGA
rnacentral:rRNA from 1 species